GCUUCAGGAGCUUUGCAAAAGAAAUGGCGGAUAAACAACCACCAGCAAAGAGAGAACUGCCCAUCCCUCCUUGGCCAAAAACAGAUUAUACGACAAAAACAAGUAAACAGAAGAAGGCAGAGGAAGAAAAGCAAGCUAAAAAUAAAGAAUUAGACCAAGCACGAGAUAAAACAACUGUAAAUAUUGGAGUGGCUUCCUCAGAGGAGGAGGGAGCAACGGCACCCAAAAGGAUACAAAACUGAUGCCGAGUUAACUACAUUUCUGCUUGACAGUGGUGGCAGUAUGCACCUUGAACAAAAUGGAUACCGCUAAUAAGUGCGAAAAGAAGAAGCGGAAGACCUGCAUUGCAAUAGACAGAUAGGGAUGUCAUCCUGCUAAUGGAAGAUGCUCAACUGGAAAAUUAUUUUCCAUUAUUUGGAGACAGGAUUGCUUUUUGCAAUUUUUGCAAGCGUCAAUAACAAUCAACAAAGCGAAAGCAGGGUCUUUUUUCAAAAGCUAAGGGAGAAGCUCAGACUUAGAAAGGAAAAC